AUCUAGCUGAAGAGUCCCAAAUAGGACGAAAUAUGCAUCAUGGAU
rnacentral:hammerhead_ribozyme from 1 species